rnacentral:pre_miRNA from 1 species
UCUUCAUUUAGCAUUGUCUCUCGCCGGUCAGAGAGGCGAGAGAGUGUGUGAAAUGAAGAGA